rnacentral:rRNA from 1 species
AUUGAACGCUGGCGGCAUGCCUUACACAUGCAAGUCGAACGGUAACAGGGAGCUUGCUCCGCUGACGAGUGGCGAACGGGUGAGUAAUGUAUCGGAACGUACCUUUUAGUGGGGGAUAACGUAGCGAAAGUUACGCUAAUACCGCAUAUUCUCUGAGGAGGAAAGCAGGGGACCUUCGGGCCCUGCGCUAAUAGAGCGUCCGAUAUCAGAUUAGAUAGUUGGUGAGGUAAAGGCUCACCAAGGCGACGAUCUGUAGCGGGUCUGAGAGGAUGAUCCGCCACACUGGAACUGAGACACGGUCCAGACUCCUACGGGAGGCAGCAGUGGGGAAUUUUGGACAAUGGGGGCAACCCUGAUCCAGCAAUGCCGCGUGAGUGAAGAAGGCCUUCGGGUUGUAAAGCUCUUUCGGCCGGGAAAAAAUCGCAUGGGUUAAUAACCUGUGUGGAUGAUGGUACCGGAAUAAGAAGCACCGGCUAACUACGUGCCAGCCGCCGCAGUAA